rnacentral:lncRNA from 1 species
AAAACUUCAAAAAACCCCCUGUGGUUUCGUACUUUCUCAUUGUAGUACCCUGGGGUUUAAAGUGUAUCAAUUUAGUGCCAUGUGGUUUCAUUUUUAUAUUUUCGACAGCUUUUUCGUUAAUAUUUCGUUAAAUUAUAUACAAAAAACUUCAGAUACCCAAUCUAGGUUUAUCGAAUAUUCACUUUAGUACCAUUUAAUUUUAACUUUGUCACUGAUUUAAGAAAAAAAUAGUAAAAUUGAUAAUAAAAAGAGAAAAAUGAAACCACAUGGCACUAAAUUGAUACACUUUAAACCACAAGGUACUAAAAUGAGAAAGUG